UACGAAGGGGGCUAGCGUUGCUCGGAAUGACUGGGCGUAAAGGGCGCGUAGGCGGAUUGUACAGUCAGGCGUGAAAUUCCCGGGCUCAACCUGGGGGCUGCGCUUUAGACGUGCGAUCUUGAGUGGGGAAGAGGGUCGUGGAAUUCCCAGUGUAGAGGUGAAAUUCGUAGAUAUUGGGAAGAACACCGGUGGCGAAGGCGGCGACCUGGUCCUUGACUGACGCUGAGGCGCGAAAGCGUGGGGAGCAAACAGG
rnacentral:rRNA from 1 species